GAUGAACGCUGGCGGCGUGCCUAAUACAUGCAAGUCGAGCGAACAGACGAGGAGCUUGCUCCUCUGACGUUAGCGGCGGACGGGUGAGUAACACGUGGAUAACCUACCUAUAAGACUGGGAUAACUUCGGGAAACCGGAGCUAAUACCGGAUAAUAUAUUGAACCGCAUGGUUCAAUAGUGAAAGACGGUUUUGCUGUCACUUAUAGAUGGAUCCGCGCCGCAUUAGCUAGUUGGUAAGGUAACGGCUUACCAAGGCAACGAUGCGUAGCCGACCUGAGAGGGGGAUCGGCCACACUGGAACUGAGACACGGUCCAGACUCCUACGAGAGGCAGCAGUAGGGAAUCUUCCGCAAUGGGCGAAAGCCUGACGGAGCAACGCCGCGUGAGUGAUGAAGGUCUUCGGAUCGUAAAACUCUGUUAUUAGGGAAGAACAAAUGUGUAAGUAACUAUGCACGUCUUGACGGCACCUAAUCAGAAAGCCACGGCUAACUACGUG
rnacentral:rRNA from 1 species